CCUACGGGUGGCAGCAGUGAGGAAUAUUGGUCAAUGGGCGCGAGCCUGAACCAGCCAAGUAGCGUGAAGGAUGACUGCCCUACGGGUUGUAAACUUCUUUUAUCAAGGAAUAAAGUGAGGCACGUGUGCCUUUUUGUAUGUACUUUAUGAAUAAGGAUAGGCUAAAUCCGUGCCAGCAGCCGCGGUAAUACGGAGGAUCCGAGCGUUUUCCGGAUUUAUUGGGUUUAAAGGGGGCGUAGAUGGGUUGUUAAGUCAGUGGUGAAAGGUUGCGGCUCAACCGUAAAAUUGCAAUUGAUACUGGCAGUCUUGAGUACAGUUGAGGUAGGCGGAAUUCGUGGUGUAGCGGUGAAAUGCUUAGAUAUCACGAAGAACUCCGAUUGCGAAGGCAGCUUACUAAACUGCCACUGACAUUGAUGCUCGAAAGUGUGGGUAUCAAACAGGAUUAGAUACCCUUGUAGUC
rnacentral:rRNA from 1 species